rfam:Neotoma lepida isolate 417 scaffold_2603, whole genome shotgun sequence.
GGGGAGAUGGCUCAGCGGUUCAGAGCACUGGCUAUUUUUCCAGAGGACCUGGGUUCAAUUCCUAGUACCCACA